AUGGAUCUGGGCGUGGCGGGGCUCCGGGCGGCCGUGACCCUGCUGGAGUCCGGGGGGGACCUCCAGCCCCCCGGGGGGUCCCUGCGCCUCCACUGCCGAACAUCCGGGUUCGAUUUUGGGGGUUUUGCCAUUGAAUGGGUGCGCCAGAGACCCGGGCAGGGGCUGGAGUUCGUCGCAGGGAUCAGCAGAAGAAGUGGCAACACUUUCUACGCGGAUUCGGUGCAGGGCCGGGUCACGAUGACGAGUGACAACGGGCAGAGCUCGGUGACGCUGACCAUGAACAACCUCAAGGACGAGGAUUCCGGAUCCUAUUUCUGUGCCAAACAAGCUGGUAAUAGUUGUUGUGGUGCUGGUGCUCAUCUUGACUGA